rnacentral:piRNA from 1 species
UCUGAAGAUGCUUCAACCCUCACUCUU